GACGAACGCUGGCGGCGUGCUUAACACAUGCAAGUCGAGCGGUAAGGCCCUUUCGGGGGUACACGAGCGGCGAACGGGUGAGUAACACGUGGGUGACCUCGCCCUCAGCUCUGGGAUAAGCCCGGGAAACUGGGUCUAAUACCGGAUAUGACUCCAUGACGCAUGUUGUGGGGUGGAAAGCCUUAGUGCGGCUGAGGAUGGGCCCGCGGCCUAUCAGCUUGUUGGUGGGGUGAUGGCCUACCAAGG
rnacentral:rRNA from 1 species